CCUGAUUUACUGGGUUUAAAGGGUGCGUAUGCGGCCUUGUAACUCAGCGGUGAAAUUUUGCAUCUUAACUGUAAAAGUGCCGUUGAUACUGUGAGGCUAGGAUUUGGUUGCUGUGGGUGGAAUGUGUGGUGUAUCGGUGAAAUGCUUAGAGAUCACACAGAAUAUCGAUUGCGAAGGCAGCUCACAAAGCCAAGAUUGACGCUGAGGCACGAAAGUGUGGGGAUCAAACAGGAUUAGAUACCCUGGUAGUCCACACUGUAAACGAUGAUAACUCGCUGUCCGCGAUAUACAGUCGGUGGCCAAGCGAAAGCGAUAAGUUAUCCACCUGGGGAGUACGACCGCAAGGUUGAAACUCAAAGGAAUUGACGGGGGCCCGCACAAGCGGAGGAACAUGUGGUUUAAUUCCAUGAUACGCGAGGAACCUUACCCGGGCUCGAACGGUGCAGGAAUAUGGUACAGAUAUCAUACCUAGCAAUAGUCUGUAUCGAGGUGCUGCAUGGUUGUCGUCAGCUCGUGCCGUGAGGGGUCGGCUUAAGUGCCAUAACGAGCGCAACCCUUGUCAUUAGUUACCAUCACGUCAAGCUGGGGACUCUAAUGAGACUGCCACCGUAAGGUGAGAGGAACGGGGAGAUGACGUCAAAUCAGCACGGCCCGUAUGUCCGGGGGCGACACACAUGUUACAAUGGGCGGGUACAGAGGGCAGCCAUCCGGCGACUGAGCGCCAAUCUCACAAACUCUUCUCAGUUCGGAUUGAAGUCUGCAACCCGACUCCAUGAAGUUGGAUUCGCUAGUAAUCGCGCAUCAUG
rnacentral:rRNA from 1 species